AUUCAAACUGUUAACCAACUUUAAUGAUUAUACAAUAUAUCGAUCUAUAAAAUAAAUAUCACUCAUCAAAACGUGAUCCUGUAUAUGGUGAUAAGAUUAAAAAUAAAUCUUUAAACAAAAUAUUUUCUAACUUAUGCUGCUUCUGUUUUGCUCAUUAGAACUAUGAAUGGUGAUGUACAAUGAAGUUUCAAAUAUAGACAAAAGUGAAAGAAUUGUAUUUUUAGCAUGAAAAUGUUACAAAAAGGAGAAAAGACCUUUAUCUAUGCAUUUAACCAAAAUGCUGCUGAAGUACAGCAAAAAACACAUUUGACAUGAACAUUAUGUGUUAAAAAAUAUAUAAACAUGUUAUUAUUUUU